CACAGCUGAUCCAGCCAUGCCGCGUGAGUGAAGAAGGCCUUCGGGUUGUAAAGCUCUUUCGGCUGGGAAGAAAUCGCAUCUCCUAAUACGGGGUGUGGAUGACGGUACCAGCAUAAGAAGCACCGGCUAACUACGUGCCAGCAGCCGCGGUAAUACGUAGGGUGCGAGCGUUAAUCGGAAUUACUGGGCGUAAAGCGUGCGCAGGCGGUUUCGUAAGACAGAGGUGAAAUCCCCGGGCUCAACCUGGGAACUGCCUUUGUGACUGCGAGGCUAGAGUAUGGCAGAGGGGGGUGGAAUUCCACGUGUAGCAGUGAAAUGCGUAGAGAUGUGGAGGAACACCGAUGGCGAAGGCAGCCCCCUGGGCCAAUACUGACGCUCAUGCACGAAAGCGUGGGGAGCAAACAGGAUUAGAUACCCUGGUAGUCCACGCCCUAAACGAUGUCAACUAGGUGUUGGUGGGGUUAAACCCAUUAGUACCGUAGCUAACGCGUGAAGUUGACCGACUGGGGAGUACGGCCGCCAGGUUAAAACUCACAGGAAUUGACGGGGACCCGCACAAGCG
rnacentral:rRNA from 1 species